UGUUUUGAAAGGGUUUGCACUGACUUGGAGCUGCACACAGUACAACCUUCACUGUGAAGGAUUUUGAUGUGGAAGUCUGGUUUUGCAGUACUUUGGUUUCUGUAGGCUGGGACCAAAUCAAGAAGUGGAAAAGCUUUGAGAUCAAUGAAGGAGGCUUCCAAUUUUCAGAUGAAGAGGUAUAACUUUAGGUUUUGAGAUGAAGAAGGCAGCUUCCAUGAUGAUCAAGACUUGCUUAGGAAAUCCUUGUUACACAAUAAAGAUGAGGAGUACACAUGUAAACUUACAUUGAUCUAUUAAUAUGAGAUGUUGGGGUGAAUUUCAAAUAGUCCUUUUUAUGAUGAAUGAAUGAUAUAUCGGUAUAUACAUGUUGAGAGAAUUUGAAACAUCUAUAUCAUGUAAACGAUUAGUUCAUGCUA